GACGAAGGAUGCAAGCGUUAUCCGGAUUCAUUGGGUUUAAAGGGUGCGUAGGCGGCUCGCCAAGUCAGGGGUGAAAUACUUCAGCUUAACUGGAGAAGUGCCCUUGAUACUGGCGGGCUCGAGGGAGGUAGGGGCAUGUGGAACUUCUGGUGGAGCGGUGAAAUGCGUUGAUAUCAGAAGGAACGCCGGUGGCGAAAGCGACGUGCUGGACCUCUUCUGACGCUGAGGCGCGAAAGCUAGGGGAGCAAACGGG
rnacentral:rRNA from 1 species